rnacentral:rRNA from 1 species
GGCCGCCUACGGGAGGCAGCAGUGAGGAAUAUUGGUCAAUGGUCGGGAGACUGAACCAGCCACGCCGCGUGAGGGAGGAAGGUACAGAGUAUCGUAAACCUCUUUUGUCAGGGAACAAAGGCGGGGACGUGUCCCCGGAUGAGUGUACCUGAAGAAAAAGCAUCGACUAACUCCGUGCCAGCAGCCGCGGUAAUACGGGGGAUGCGAGCGUUAUCCGGAUUUAUUGGGUUUAAAGGGUGCGCAGGCGGUCUGUUAAGUCAGCGGUCAAAGCCCGGGGCUCAACCCCGGCCCGCCGUUGCAACUGG